GAUCUCUCUCUCUGCGGAAGCCAGCCACCGCUCUCCAAGGACUCUCGAGCAGCUCCAUCUACAGAUUCACAUGGAGAAGAAUUAAGGGUUCCUGCCAAUCACCAGCACCACUUUGCCAGCCUUGUAAGUGGGCCACCUUGGAAUUGGAGCCUCCAGUUCCUACUGACAUCUGACUGCAACAUCAUGAGAGACCCUGAGUUUGAACCACCCAGCUGAGCUGCUUCUGAGCUAACCCACUGAAACCGUGAAAGUACCUGAAUGAAACAACACCCAGUAGCCACUAGCACACCUAGCUCCCAGAUCUGUUUUUGAUGCCAUUCUUCAGUAAAAGGAAGCAAGGCUGCUUGGAGAAAUUGCUAUCAAGGACUGGGGUAGAAAAUAUACAAGAUGAAAUUGGAGCAUCUUGUAGUGCUUGAAAACAGUUGGCAUCUGUGUGAAGAUGUGAAUGGAGGAGGCAGAGUAGGCAGUGAGUGCCGCAGCCACAGCUUGUGUUCUCUGCAGCCCUGGCACAGAAGAUAGGAACACUCAUGGGGGAUGCGGCCACUGUGAUGUCUUCCCACACAAGAAGUGCCAAGUGCUUUUCUCAUGCUUUUCUGGAUUGUCCCAUGGUGGACGAGUCAGCAGGAGUGAGAUGGAGCAGCACAGUAGAGGGCACCUGCUCUGUUUUGUCCCAGGCCAGGAUAUCGUUGUACAUAUUCUCAGCUAAGUGAGCACCAAUAGAGGAGAGGGAGAGUCUCAUGGAAGUUCCUUCUAAGCCUUUGGCUCUUUUUACCUUCAACAAGGUUCCUUAGAUCCUGGGAUGAGGAGGUGGACCAGCAGAAGGUGGGCUUGUGAAGGCAGCCCGGGGUCCAAAUCCUCCUGGCUCUUCAGCUUAGCGGGUUAGUUAACAUUCAGAAGCCUUCAUCUCCCAUCUGCAAAAUGGGCAUGUCCAACUCAGAAGCUGCCUUGAAGAAAGGGUCUACCCAGCAUGGUGCGUGGAGCCUAAGCAGUCAGUACUUCAGGACUUCACCCGGCCCCUUUCCAAUAACUGCUGCUGUCGCCCUCACAGGAUGUCACCUUCAGCGUCUGAAAGCUGGGUUUGAUGCGUCUGGAAAGGCGUCCCUGACAGGCGUCGUUGCCAGGAGCCCCUAGUGCCACCAGCAGCCAGCAGGGGAGGGCGUCCUCUGCCCGCUCACUUCUGACCCUUCUCUCGUUGCACCCGGAACAUGGUGCAGCUGGGAGCAGCCUGGGCUGCGCGGAAGGCUCAGAUUUGGGGACGGCCCUUGCCAGUGACUGUGAGCUGGGGUGUCUUGGAAACUCCCAGUCUCAGCUUCUCCAUUUAUAAGAUGAGAAUGAUCAUACCAGACUCAGGCAAGGUUGUUUGUGCAUUAGUGAAAUCAGACGUAUUAAAUAAAGUACCACAUUGAUCGUGGAGUUGUUGAAUAACCAAGAA
rnacentral:lncRNA from 1 species